rnacentral:snRNA from 1 species
GUGUUCAUUUUGGCAGCACAUAUACUAAAAUUGUAAUGAUACAGGGAUGAUUAGCACGGCCCCUGUGCAAAGAUGACAUGCAAAUUCAUGAAGUGCUCCAUAAUUUA